UCCACCAAACCAAAUCUCGAAUCUUACUAUAACCGAACCAAAACCUUCUUCUUCUCCUUCAUGUCUUGAGCUUCACAAGCAAAGCAUUGAGAGAGCAGAAGGGGACAUUAGCUUUCUUGCAUGGAGAGGACAAAAUGGGAGGGUAAGGCAGUGGCAGAGAUAAAAGGGGCGAGAGCAGAGCAAGUGUGGCCACUCCUCGAAGAUUUUUGCGGACUGAACAAGUGGUGUUUCCGACGCUGAAGACGUGCGUCCACUCCGAAGGCAUCUUAGGACAGCCUGGCUGCGUCCGUCACUGCGCCGGCUUCAUCACUCCGCUCGACAAAGACAGGACCGGACAGAACUGGACCAAGCAGAAGCUUCUUCGGAUAGACCACGACCAGAUGGCUCUGACCUACUCCAUCAUCGAUGGGAACGUCGGGUUCAACGGCUAUGUCUCGACCAUGAAGGUGGUCCGGAUGGGCGAAGGGUGUGGGAUCGAGUGGAAGUAUGAGGUCGAACCGCCUGCGGGAUGGAGGCUCAAGGAUUUGGAUUCAUUCGUUACGACCGGUCUGCAGGUGAUGGCUCAGAGAAUGGGGGAGUUUCUCCAAGCUUCAUCACCAUGCAUGAAUGAAUGAACCCUAGUUUUUUUUUUUCUAGAUGAAGAUGAUGUGAAAUAUCUUAAUGUAAUGGGGAAUCAUAUUUUAUAUAUUUGAUUAUGGUUUA